UGCAUUAUCGGAAAAAUAGAAAGUUAUUCGAUUAUUUGGUUGUUUCCUUGUGUUAGGUCUAAUGAGUAUUGGACAACGGAUUCGGGGAUCAUAAAUUACCCAAUUCCAAUUAGGAUAAGGACUGAUAAAAAAUGUAGGGCGCUACUGUUGGCCACCUAAAGAAUUUCCAUAUCCCAUGGGCGAUUCAUUUGGAACCCAGACACUUCAAAAGCUCUGUCGAUGGCUGCCUUGUGUUUGCACCAUUUUCAUGUAGCUGUCACUCCCUCUCCACGAUCUUUGGAUGGUAAUCCAAUUAGGGGAAUGUCAAACCGGGAGUUUGGGCCCCGCAUAAGAAUUGACCUUUGUUUUUCUGCUCGCCAUACGAUUACGACGCGUGCUUUCUUAGAAGACGAGGCAAGUGCAGAGAUUGUAAAGAAUAGGGAACUGUUAGAGUUAAUCUAAUCUAUGUAAGCAAAGUUAAGCUUUCGGUUUUGACUGGCAAGAAAAGGAGGCUUUAGUUUCCCCAGACUAAAACUCGGAUCUGUGCGUACAAGUACUGGCGCUCUUAGGGCAGUAACAUCCUAGCAUCCUUGAAAUCAAACAGACAUCCAAGUCCAAAAACUAGUUGUUUCCCAUAGUAAUGAACUUAAAAGUGUCAGUUUUCAUUAAAAUUUUUUAACAUUAACUCUAGGUUUGCUCCCAUUGCUGCCAACGCGAAGCUCCUCUGUGCGAAGUACCGAUAUGUCGGGCGGACAGAAUCAGCCAGACUCAUCGGUGGACGUUCAGUGACCCAGCGUCACCGGCGGAGGACUAGAGCUCGUCUGUCCGGUGUCCAAGUGUCAGCCGUGGCUCAAAUGGAGUGGCAUGUGCCGCAAACAUUUUCAUGAUUAAUAAUAUUAUUUUUCCAGUAACGAAAUUAUCGCGGAGCGGAGACCUAUGUCCGUCGCUCUAAGCUGCGGUUAAUUCCCCGGCUAACAAAGGUGGCAUAACUGGCACCUCAUAGACAAGACCAGACAAGAUAUGACGCCAGGCUCGGAAACCGAAACUGACAUUUUGUCCAGUCUGGAGUGUACGAGUAUGCUGGGAGUGCUGCCGCCGUCCGUCUGGCUAACUGGUCUUGGUCUUCUGGCUACUGGCUCCUAUUUCUAUUGAAUGUGUCAUGGAACAACAACAGAAAAAUGUUUUGAUUUUCAACUGGACUUUGUUGCGUUGCUCGCGUUGGGUCUUAAACUCCGACUGGGGUCCACCAGUUGUUCGGCUGGAAUGUGUGACGGCUUAUCUCGACGCAACUGACAACUGGAUCCCAAUCCCAAUCCCGAUCCCGAUCUCGAUCUCCAGCUCGAUGUCGGUCGAGCCCCCGACUGUGAGACACAUAUUUUGCAUCCGCCUGGGUUGUGGCUUACAAUUUCAAUUGAAAUUUAAUUAAUUAGAUGACAGUUGGAUUGACACUUGACUGCGCUUUAUACUUGACCGAUCUGUGUUGCGCUCGUUGACUAUAUUUUGUUUGGGUUCCUUCUAGUUUUUUAGUUUGAACGACUGGUGCGCGCUGUUUUUUGAAUAAUUAAAUUUCUUGGAAUCAGGAAUCUUGGAAUUUGGUGACUGAACUUUUCAUCGAGAAGGGAAACCAUAAGGACAUGGAAUUAAGAGCGAAAAUAAAAUCCAAGUCCGAGGUGCAUUAACAAUAUUGCAAUCUGACAUCCCGAUCGUCGAUGGAUAAGUCGCCACUAAGCGAGUCGUAUCAGGUAGGCAAAGGGAGGGGCAAUCGCGGUCAGGUAUGAAAUCACGGCACAAGAGAUGCCUAAAGCGUAUUCUAAUUAAGCGUGAAGCUCACCUGGAGGCAGUUGUACGCCUACUGCCACGCAAAGCGAGCACAAACUUUAAAGGUCUGUAACAGAGAAAACAAUCUCAAUCGCGAUCAAGCGGCUGUUCUUAUCUUGAGAUCAUACAAAACCGGCAGUGGAUUGCAUGUGCUUGUCGUUGAUAAAAUGUUGAAUGCUGUUUUCAUUAAAUAUGAUUUAGUUAACACUCUUCCUAUCAAAAACACAAGUAGGUAUUAAGCUUAAAAACUUUGCAUUUCCAAUCAAUUUUUACGAACUUAAACCGACCUACAUUUUUUUCUGUGCAUAUUACAUAGUGCGCAUCUCACGGAUUUGGAACGAAGUGAUGCCGACUCUGAUCCAUAGUCCGAUCGUAUCGAUACUCGCCCGAGUCCUAUCGCCACAUAAAGUGUGGCUAAUUGCGGUUUCAAAUAAAGAGCGGGACGAUGCCGCCAAAAGAGGCUGGCGCAUGAAUACACUAGCGCUUGUAUUAAUCCUAAGCCCCCACAUUCCCCACACUCCAUCCGUUCCCUCCACCGUCGAUAAGUUUUGCCGAAAGGGAAAAUCAACUUCAAGGCAGCCGUCAGAGGACUAUCCAUCCAUCCAUGCAGGCGUGAAUCGGAGGAGCUGGUCCGGCUAGUAGGCAGUGUGCCGAAAGCUUUGGCCAGACUGUUGGUCUCGGUGAAUGAGCCGUAUUGGCGUAGGUUCAGUAAUGAGCUGAAACACAAUUUCCCCUUUGGACUUCGCUUUUGCCUCCCAUAUAAAAGCUAAAAGGUGUGGUAUUGGCAAAGGUGACAACGUUUGUGAGGCGACAUAUUAAAAUAGAGAAUAAAUGGCGA